rnacentral:rRNA from 1 species
UGGGGAAUUUUGGACAAUGGGCGAAAGCCUGAUCCAGCCAUGCCGCGUGAGUGAAGAAGGCCUUCGGGUUGUAAAGCCCUUUUAGUCGGAAAGAAAGAGUUGCAAUGAAUAAUUGUGAUUUAUGACGGUACCGACAGAAAAAGCACCGGCUAACUACGUGCCAGCAGCCGCGGUAAUACGUAGGGUGCGAGCGUUAAUCGGAAUUACUGGGCGUAAAGGGUGCGCAGGCGGUCUUGCAAGUCAGAUGUGAAAGCCCCGGGCUUAACCUGGGAAUUGCGUUUGAAACUACAAGACUAGAGUGCAGCAGAGGGGAGUGGAAUUCCAUGUGUAGCAGUGAAAUGCGUAGAGAUGUGGAAGAACACCGAUGGCGAAGGCAGCUCCCUGGGUUGACACUGACGCUCAUGCACGAAAGCGUGGGGAGCAAACA